AACGAACGCUGGCGGCAUGCCCAACACAUGCAAGUCGAACGAGAUCUUCGGAUCUAGUGGCGCACGGGUGCGUAACGCGUGGGAAUCUGCCCCUUGCUUCGGAAUAACAGUGAGAAAUUACUGCUAAUACCGGAUGAUGUCUUCGGACCAAAGAUUUAUCGGCAAGGGAUGAGCCCGCGUAGGAUUAGGUAGUUGGUGGGGUAAUGGCCUACCAAGCCGACGAUCCUUAGCUGGUCUGAGAGGAUGAUCAGCCACACUGGGACUGAGACACGGCCCAGACUCCUACGGGAGGCAGCAGUGGGGAAUAUUGGACAAUGGGCGAAAGCCUGAUCCAGCAAUGCCGCGUGAGUGAUGAAGGCCUUAGGGUUGUAAAGCUCUUUUACCAGGGAUGAUAAUGACAGUACCUGGAGAAUAAGCUCCGGCUAACUCCGUG
rnacentral:rRNA from 1 species